CCUACGGGAGGCAGCAGUGGGGAAUAUUGCACAAUGGGCGCAAGCCUGAUGCAGCCAUGCCGCGUGUGUGAAGAAGGCCUUCGGGUUGUAAAGCACUUUCAGCGGGGAGGAAGGCGAUAAGGUUAAUAACCUUGUCGAUUGACGUUACCCGCAGAAGAAGCACCGGCUAACUCCGUGCCAGCAGCCGCGGUAAUA
rnacentral:rRNA from 1 species